UACGAAGGGGGCGAGCGUUGUUCGGAUUUACUGGGCGUAAAGGGCGCGCAGGCGGCGAUUUUUGUCAGGCGUGAAAGCCCCGGGCUCAACCUGGGAACUGCGUUUGAUACGGGAUUGCUAGAGAUCGGGAGAGGAGAGUGGAAUUCCCAGUGUAGAGGUGAAAUUCGUAGAUAUUCGCAAGAACACCAGUGGCGAAGGCGGCUCACUGGCCCGAUACUGACGCUGAGGCACGAAAGCGUGGGGAGCAAACAGG
rnacentral:rRNA from 1 species